rnacentral:rRNA from 1 species
AAUCAACGCUGGCGGCGUGCCUAACACAUGCAAGUCGAACGAGAAAGUGGAGCAAUCCAUGAGUAAAGUGGCGACCGGGUGAGUAACACGUGACCAAUCUACCCUCGAGUGGGGGAUAACUCCGGGAAACCGGAGCUAAUACCGCAUAACAUCUUUGGAACUCAGGUUCUGAUGAUCAAGGGAGCAAUCCGCUUGAGGGGGAGGUCGCGGCUGAUUAGCUAGUUGGCGGGGUAACGGCCCACCAAGGCGAAGAUCGGUAGCCGGCCUGAGAGGGCGCACGGCCACACUGGAACUGCAACACGGUCCAGACUCCUACGGGAGGCAGCAGUGGGGAAUUUUGCGCAAUGGGGGAAACCCUGACGCAGCAACGCCGCGUGGAGGAUGAAGUCCCUUGGGACGUAAACUCCUUUCGACCGGGAAGAUGAUGACGGUACCGGUGGAAGAAGCACCGGCUAACUCUGUGCCAGCAGCCGCGGUAAUAC